CACCGACAACUAUAAUACUACUUCAAAACUUCCGGAUCCUCUCCGAUACGCGCUAGUGGGCGAAAAGAAGAAAACUAACAUAAGUAGAAGAACACUCGGAAGAACGUUGAACAGCAGUAUACUACCACACGUAUAUACAAACUAGUAGUAUACUAGUAUUUGAAUACAAAGUAAGAUACUAGUAUUUUAAUACAAGUAGUACUAGUAUAUUAUAUAAUAAAAGUAGUAAUAGUAAUAGUAGUAGAAGUAAUAAUAAUAGUAGUAGUAGUAGUAUUAAUAGUAACAGUAGUAGUAUAACGCAAUCGUUCGACUGCAAGGAAAAGUGGUGUGCGGAAACGCAUAAGAUUCUCAAGUAAUACUUUUAUAUAUACGUACAUUAACACACACACACACACACACGUGCACACACAAGUAUACAUAUACACGUUGAAUACACGGAUUAUAUACUUGAAUAGUAUAUACCUUUCGUUUUCUACACCGAAGAAGUGUUCUGUGAUUCGUGAACGAAACAACCAAGAAAAAAAAGAGAGUAAAAGAAAAAAAAACAGAGAGAGAGACAAAAAAAGGUACAAGACGUGUUACAUCGAGAACGGAUAGAAGAGAUCAUCUUCUUUCUUUACUGAUCAACAAGAGCAAGGAAGAAAGAAAGAGAAAAAGAGAGAGAGAGAGAGAGAGAUUGGAAGAAAAAGCAGGAUGAUCAUCGCUGGAAUUAAGAUGGACUGGACGAUCAGAUUGUAUGCCGUUGUAUGGAUCUUGACCAUAACUAUACCAAGUUACAAGGCGACAAGUUUGGAGAGUCCGAAUAAC